GACGAACGCUGGCGGCGUGCUUAACACAUGCAAGUCGAACGGAAAGGCCCUGCUUUUGUGGGGUGCUCGAGUGGCGAACGGGUGAGUAACACGUGAGUAACCUGCACUUGACUUUGGGAUAUCUUCAGGAAACUGGGGCUGAUACCAUAUAGUAGCUCCUGCUUCAUGGCGGUGGUUGGAAAGAUUCAGCUGUUGGGGAUGGACUCUCGGUUUAUCAGCUUGUUGUUGGGGUGGUGGCUUACAAAGGCGUUGACGGGUAGCCGGCCUGCGAGGGGGACCGGGCACACUGGGACUCAGAGACGGCCCAGACUCCUCCGGGGGGGAGAGGAGGGGAAUAUUGCAGAAUAGGCGGAAGCCUGAUGCAGCAACGACGCGUGCGGGACGAUGAACUUCGGGUUGUAAAAAGCUUUCGCCUGUGACGAAGAGUGAGAGACGGUAAUCGGCAAAGAAGCACCGGCUUAAUACGGU
rnacentral:rRNA from 1 species